rnacentral:rRNA from 1 species
AGUGAACGCUGGCGGCAUGCCUUACACAUGCAAGUCGAACGGCAGCACGGGUGCUUGCACCUGGUGGCGAGUGGCGAACGGGUGAGUAAUACAUCGGAACAUGUCCUGUAGUGGGGGAUAGCCCGGCGAAAGCCGGAUUAAUACCGCAUACGAUCUACGGAUGAAAGCGGGGGCCCUUCGGGCCUCGCGCUAUCGGGUUGGCCGAUGGCUGAUUAGCUAGUUGGUGGGGUAAAGGCCUACCAAGGCGACGAUCAGUAGCUGGUCUGAGAGGACGACCAGCCACACUGGGACUGAGACACGGCCCAGACUCCUACGGGAGGCAGCAGUGGGGAAUUUUGGACAAUGGGCGAAAGCCUGAUCCAGCAAUGCCGCGUGUGUGAAGAAGGCCUUCGGGUUGUAAAGCACUUUUGUCCGGAAAGAAAUGCUUGGCCCUAAUACGGUCGGGGGAUGACGGUACCGGAAGAAUAAGCACCGGCUAACUACGUG